CCCCACAGCAGCUCCCCCCG
rnacentral:misc_RNA from 1 species